GUUCCUGUGGUUAAAAAACAACGGCGGCUUUUCAAGCCGCAGAUCUUGGAGAGAGGCCAAGCGGGAACU
rnacentral:tRNA from 1 species